rnacentral:rRNA from 1 species
AACGAACGCUGGCGGCAUGCCUAACACAUGCAAGUCGAACGAGACCUUCGGGUCUAGUGGCGCACGGGUGCGUAACGCGUGGGAACCUGCCCUUAGGUUCGGAAUAACUCCCCGAAAGGGGUGCUAAUACCGGAUAAUGUCUUCGGACCAAAGAUUUAUCGCCUUUGGAUGGGCCCGCGUUGGAUUAGCUAGUUGGUAGGGUAAAAGCCUACCAAGGCGACGAUCCAUAGCUGGUCUGAGAGGAUGAUCAGCCACACUGGGACUGAGACACGGCCCAGACUCCUACGGGAGGCAGCAGUGGGGAAUAUUGGACAAGGGGCGAAAGCCUGAUACAGCAAUGCCGCGUGAGUGAUGAAGGCCUUAGGGUUGUAAAGCUCUUUUACCCGGGAUGAUAAUGACAGUACCGGGAGAAUAAGCACCGGCUAACUCCGUG